CUACGGGUCGCACCAGUGGGGAAUAUUGGGCAAUGGAGGAAACUCUGACCCAGCGACGCCGCGUGAGGGAUGAAGGCCUUCGGGUUGUAAACCUCUUUCAGCAGGGAAUAAGCGAAAGUGAAGGUACCUGCAGAAGAAGCACCGGCUAACUAUGUGCCAGCAGCCGCGGUAAUACAUAGGGUGCAAGCGUUGUCCGGAAUUAUUGGGCGUAAAGAGCUCGUAGGUGGUCGAUCACGUCGGAUGUGAAAUUCUGAGGCUUAACCUCGGACCUGCAUUCGAUACGGGUUGACUAGAGUGUGGUAGGGGAGACUGGAAUUCCUGGUGUAGCGGUGGAAUGCGCAGAUAUCAGGAGGAACACCGAUGGCGAAGGCAGGUCUCUGGGCCAUUACUGACACUGAGGAGCGAAAGCGUGGGGAGCGAACAGGAUUAGAUACCCGGGUAGUC
rnacentral:rRNA from 1 species